UUUAAGAGAAAGGCAUCUGGAGCGUUAGCAUGAGCACCCUCAAAACAGGCCCACCUCCGUGGAGAUGAUGAACACUUGUCAUGGACCGUCCAAAACAGCAGGUAAAAGACUAAUAGUGCCAUAUUGUACCUGGAUGUGGGAUUGAGAUCCGCAGGUGCAGAUGAGGGGAAGAUUUCCACUACAGUUCAUUAAAACCCAGGACCGUGUUUAAUAAAGUACAGGAGGCAAAGACACUUCUUGGCAAGGAUCCAGUGGAAUGUGGAGGAUUUCCGUUGAAGUAGACUGGUUGACAGUUGUACCCACUGAUGAAGAACUUCUGAUCGUACACAACUGACCAAUGAUCUCCUAUGCCCAAUGAGAAAAUAGUCUGUUC
rnacentral:lncRNA from 1 species